CAGCAGCCGCGGGAAUACAGAGGGUGCGAGCGUUAAUCGGAUUUACUGGGCGUAAAGCGUGCGUAGGCGGCUUCUUAAGUCGGAUGUGAAAUCCCUGAGCUUAACUUAGGAAUUGCAUUCGAUACUGGGAAGCUAGAGUAUGGGAGAGGAUGGUAGAAUUCCAGGUGUAGCGGUGAAAUGCGUAGAGAUCUGGAGGAAUACCGAUGGCGAAGGCAGCCAUCUGGCCUAAUACUGACGCUGAGGUACGAAAGCAUGGGGAGCAAACAGGAUUAGAUACCCCCGUAGUUCCUGUCUCUUAUAC
rnacentral:rRNA from 1 species